rnacentral:rRNA from 1 species
ACCGCGAGGUGGAGCAAAUCUCAAAAAGACCGUCCCAGUUCGGAUCGCAGGCUGCAACCCGCCUGCGUGAAGUUGGAAUCGCUAGUAAUCGCGGAUCAGCAUGCCGCGGUGAAUACGUUCCCGGGCCUUGUACACACCGCCCGUCACACCAUGAGAGUCGGGAACACCCGAAGUCCGUAGCCUAACCGCAAGGGGGGCGCGGCCGAAGGUGGGUUCGAUAAUUGGGGUGAAGUCGUAACAAGGUAGC